rnacentral:rRNA from 1 species
CCCUUAGAUGUUCUGGGCCGCACGCGUGCUACACUGAGUGGAUCAGCGGGUCAGGUUGCGCGAAAGCGUUUCCUAAUCUUUAAAUCCGCUCGUGAUGGGGAUUGACGGUUGCAAUUUUCUGUCAUGAACGAGGAAUACCUUGUAAGCAUGGUUUAUCAUCCGACGCUGAAUGCGUCCCUGCCCUUUGUACACACCGCCCGUCGCUCCUACCGAUGAGUCGUCCGGUGAAGUUCGUAGACCUCGUGAUCGCGGAUCACUGGGGGAAGCAAAAUGAACCUCGCGGUUUAGAGGAAGGAGAAGUCGUAACA